AGAGUUUGAUCCUGGCUCAGGACGAACGCUGGCGGCGUGCUUAACACAUGCAAGUCGAACGAAAGGCCUUCAGCUUGCUGGGGGUACUCGAGUGGCGAACGGGUGAGUAACACGUGGGUGUCUGCCCUGCACUUCGGGAUAAGCCUGGGAAACUGGGUCUAAUACCGGAUAGGACCCUCCUUAGUGUGGGGGGUGGAAAGUUUUUUCGUUGCAGGAUGAGCCCGCGGCCUAUCAGCUUGUGGUGGGGUAAUGGCCUACCAAGGCGUCGACGGGUAGCCGGCCUGAGAGGGUGGACGGCCAAUUGGGACUGAGAUACGGCCCAGACUCCUACGGGAGGCAGCAGUGGGGAAUAUUGCACAAGGGCGCAAGCCUGAUGCAGCGACGCCGCGUGGGGGAUGACGGCCUUCGGGUUGUAAACCUUUUCGACAGGGACGAAGCUUUUUGUGACGGUACCUGUAUAAGAAGCACCGGCUAACUACGGCCAGCAGCCGCGGUAAUACGUAGGGUGCGAGCGUUGUCCGGAAUUACUGGGCGUAAAGACUCGUAGGUGGUUUGUCGCGUCGUCUGUGAAAUUCCGGGGCUUAACUCCGGGCGUGCAGGGAUACGGGCAAUACUUGAGUGCUGUAGGGGAGACUGAAUUCCUGGUGUAGCGGUGAAAUGGCAGAUAUCAGGAGGAACACCAAUGGCGAAGGCAGGUCUCUGGGCAGUAACUGACGCUGAGAGCGAAAGCAUGGGUAGCGAACAGGAUUAGAUACCCUGGUAGUCCAUGCCGUAA
rnacentral:rRNA from 1 species